GGAGUCUGGGCCGUAUCUCAGUCCCAAUGUGGCCGUUCAACCUCUCAGUCCGGCUACUGAUCGCAGUCUUGGUAGGCCGUUACCCUGCCAACUAACUAAUCAGAUAUGAGCCCAUCUUUCAGCGGAUUGCUCCUUUGGUAUCCAGGUGAUGCCACCCAAAUACAUUAUGCGGUAUUAGCAGUCGUUUCCAACUGUUGUCCCCCUCUGAAAGGCAGGUUGCUCAUACAUUACUCACCCGUCCGCCACUAAGUUACAAAAGCAAGCUCUCGUAACUCCGUUCGACUUGCAUGUGUUAGGCACGCCGCCAGCGUUCAUC
rnacentral:rRNA from 1 species